CCUACGGGAGGCAGCAGUGGGGAAUCUUGGACAAUGGGCGCAAGCCUGAUCCAGCCAUGCCGCGUGAGUGAUGAAGGCCUUAGGGUCGUAAAGCUCUUUCGCCAGAGAUGAUAAUGACAGUAUCUGGUAAAGAAACCCCGGCUAACUCCGUGCCAGCAGCCGCGGUAAUACGGAGGGGGUUAGCGUUGUUCGGAAUUACUGGGCGUAAAGCGCACGUAGGCGGAUCAGAAAGUAUAGGGUGAAAUCCCAGGGCUCAACCCUGGAACUGCCUUAUAAACUCCUGGUCUUGAGUUCGAGAGAGGUAAGUGGAAUUCCGAGUGUAGAGGUGAAAUUCGUAGAUAUUCGGAGGAACACCAGUGGCGAAGGCGGCUUACUGGCUCGAUACUGACGCUGAGGUGCGAAAGUGUGGGGAGCAAACAGGAUUAGAUACCCCGGUAGUC
rnacentral:rRNA from 1 species